UUUCAUGGGAGAUGCGCCAUUAUGUCUGAAAAUACAAGAGGUGUUUAUGGAGAAAGAUGGAAGCUGCUUAUGAGACACAAGACAGGCCCUGUGGAAGUUUAGUCAUGAAGAAGAUAAAGAAGUUUUUCUGGAGGGAUCCUCUAGAAACAAACAACAAAACCCACAAAUUAUAAUGCAUCUGCACUUAGACUGCUAGGAACUUUGACUCAAUGGAGUGAAAGCUUAAGGCUUUGUUCUUUACCUGUG
rnacentral:lncRNA from 1 species